AAUUGCAUUAAUGGAGUACAGGAGAAGAAUCAUUACAUCAGUAGAGGCAGAGAAAGCACUUCAUGAAAUUCAACAUUUACCUAUGCAGAAACUUCUCAGAAACUAGAUAAGUAAAGCCUUGCCUUAACUUCGUAAGGUCUGUAAUAAACAAAAAUAAACAGUAAGCAACAGUUUGCCUGCACUGUUAUCAGACUGCUUUUUUACGAUUAGGAUCAAGACAUGAAUGAUUGCUGUGCCUAUUAAUGUUCAACAAAUGUCAUGAUCAAAGGAACAGGGCAAGACAGAGAAGUACAAGGCUACAUCAUAUAGAGGUAUGAAGAGAUAAAACUGUCAUUUUCAUGUGAUGUGACUAUCUAUACAGAAAACCCAGCAGAACUAACAGAUAAAAUAUUAAGAUGAAUACAUGAGUCUAGUUAAAGAGCUGGAUUAAAAUUAAGCUUAAAAUUCUUAGAAAAUUCUUCAUUAACAGAAAACAGCUGGACUAUAGAAUGUAAAGUAAGCACCAUUCAAAAUAGUAACACAACUAAACAAUAUCUAGAACUUAACUGACAAAGAAUGCAGAAGACCUUCAUAAGAAAAAUGAAAACUCUAUUGUGGACUGUGGAGGAGGUUUUAAUUAAUGGAAAAAUGUACCAGGUUCAUGGAUAGGAGAAUCUAACAUUGUGAAGAAGUUAAUUUGCCCAAAUUAAUGGGUAAGUUCGACAUAAUUCUAAAAAUAAUUUAAAAUAAUUCAAUAUAAUUCUAAAAAUUCCAUCAAGACUCUUUUUCAGGAACACAAGAAUCUCAGGAACACCAGUGUUCACCACCAUCAUAACCAUCACCACCACCUUCACAUCACCACUGCCAACAUCACCCUACCACUGCAACCAAAUCCAGCCAUGAAAGAGGUCCAACAGGCAGCGAGUUGGCUGGGCCACAAAAGUGUGCUGUGCUGGAGAAACCACCAGGAAGUGUGCUGACUGGUGCCACCCACCGAGGCCACUGUUUUCGAGGCCCACGGAGAGGUAGAGGCGAAGGAGGAACAGAAGUCUCUACAACCUUCAUCCUCCUAAGGGAAAGUGUGUGCCCCAGGCCACCAAGGUUGUGUCUGCCUGGAGUGUGCUACCCAACCUUGUUUGGUGAGAGGCUCAGGAUGUGGGGGAGCAGGAACUGGAGUGACAGCUUUGUCUGCGCCCCAGAGACGCCAGGGAUCCCGGCACCACCCAGAGGAAGGUCCAGGCACGGAAUGGAUUCCGCCCCAGGACUUCUGGCAGAAACACCCCCGAGGCCACCUUGAGCUCGGAUUUCUGUCCUACGGAAUUGCAGGGAAUGAAUGCUCAUGUGUCUUAAGCCACCAAGCUGCAGCCAUUGUGGUCACAGCCCUAGGGGCUGAAGGCAGAGUGGCUCUCUGACUGGUCAGGGAGGCCGGAAGCUGGCUUCUUGGUCCUUCCUUGGUGGCCUGACUCACCUGAGUGUGUGGCUCUGUGCUCAGGGUGUUCCGCAGCUCCGGUGUGAGGACAUGGUCUGUGCCUUCAGCCUGGUGCCUGCCUUCUUUGUUUUGGUGGCUGUCAGCGGCCCAAGGGCAGGGCCAACCAGGGAAGUGGUGGGUCUGAGGCUCGUGCUGUGUGGCUGCAGCAGGGCUGUAAGGAUUCAUGGUGCCCACACAGCUUCGCCAUGCACAUGGUUGGUUCCUCAGUGGACAUGAACCCUGGGUGUCUGCCAGGGAUCCCCAAAGUAACUGUUGUACAACUCCACUUAAGACCAAAGAGUCCCUGGUACCUGCUUAGAAGUGGCUUCUGCCUCCACAUCACCCUGGUGUCCGUGUGACCUCUGCAGUGUUCUGCAGCUGUAGUUUAGUCUGAAGAGCUCCAACCACAGCCCCUUCUGCUGCCACUAGGCUGGGGGCCAGCCCUGCUCUCCCCACUACAGCCCUGCUUUUAUUGUGGGUUUUUGUGUGCUUUGGAAUUCGCCCAGCCAUUGCAAUCCACCCGAGUGACACAGCCCUGUCUCUCCAGCAUGCAUGACUUGGGCCGGAGGUGAGUACCCUACGCAGGCGCAAGCUUGUGGGCCCAAAGGGUGCUCAGUGGCAAAUGCACUGCACCAUGAUCCAAAUGCGCUUCAAGAUGAAGAACUGCUCCUUCAUCUCAUGUGUGAGGUUGGAAAACAGACCUGGCCACAUUCUCCUUUCCAGUGCCUGGAAGUCAGGUGGCCUUGAUGCAUCCUUUGUGAAUAAUCCUUUGAGAUAAUUCAUUUCAUUACUUCUUUUUUUUUUUUUUUGGUACUGGGGAUCGAACUCGGGUCCUUGUGCUUGUGAGGCAGGCAGUGGAACCACUGAGCUAAGUCCCCGGCCCUUCAUUACUUCUUUUUUUUUGGUUUUCUUUUGAGUCAGGGUCUCCCUUUGUAGUUCAGGCUGGCCCUGAACUCACUAGGUAGCCCAGGCUGGCCUCGAACUUGCAUUGAUCCUCCUGCCUCAGCCUCCUGAGUGCUGGGAUGACAGGCGUGCACCACCACGCCCGGCCCUUCAUUACUUCUUGAAGGACAGGAUUUAUUUCACCGUGAGAGCCAUGAUCACAUUCCCCUCCUCUCAGGCAAGUUUCUUCUGGCCCCAGACCUCAAGACCUUGGGGUAGGACUGAUUGGGAUGGAGGGUAACUGGGAAGAAAUUCUGGUUGAGUUGGGUGGAGCAGGAAGCAAAACCGGAAGUCAGUGCUCUGGUGGGGAGCAGGCUGUGGAUCCUAGGCCAGGCAGAGCAGGACUGGAAGGCACUGGUACCAGCCCAUGGUG
rnacentral:lncRNA from 1 species